rnacentral:pre_miRNA from 1 species
CAAGUACUCCCUCUGUCCGGAAUUACUUGUCAUCAAAAUGGAUGUGUCUAGAACUAAAAUACAUCUAGAUACAUCCAUUUCAAUGACAAAUAUUUUCGGACGGAGGGAGUACAAG